rnacentral:rRNA from 1 species
GAAAGUAAGCAAGGGCAGACGGUGGAUGCCUUGGCUCUCGGAGGCGAUGAAGGACGUGAUAAGCUGCGAUAAGCUUGGGGUAGGUGCAAAUAACCUUUGAUCCCAAGAUUUCCGAAUGGGGCAACCCGGCUGGUAGAAGGCCAGUCAUUCCGUAAGGAAGGCGAACGUGGGGAACUGAAACAUCUAAGUACCCAUAGGAGAAGAAAACAAAAGUGAUUCCGCAAGUAGUGGCGAGCGAACGCGGAACAGCCCAAACCACCCGUGUUACGGCACGAGUGGGGUAGAAGGAUCCACGCUACGGCAAGAAAUAAGUUAGCAGAAUACGAUGGAAAUCGUAGCCAGAGACGGUGACAGCCCGGUACGCGAAAACGGACAGAAGCCCAGUGGACACCUGAGUAACCCAGGACACGAGAAAUCCGGGGCGAAUCAGCGGGGCCCAUCCCGUAAGGCUAAAUACUCCCGAGAGACCGAUAGCGAACCAGUACUGUGAAGGAAAGGUGAAAAGAACCUCGAACAGAGGAGUGAAACAGACCCUGAAACCAUGCGCCUACAAGCGGUCGGAGCAUGUUAAAAUGUGACGGCGUGCCUUUUGCAUAAUGAACCUACGAGUUACUCUCGCUGGCAAGGUUAAGCGAUUCAGUCGCGCAGCCGAAGCGAAAGCAAGUCCGAACAAGGCGUACAGUCAGCGGGAGUAGACGCGAAACCAAGUGAUCUACCCUUGGUCAGGUUGAAGGUUGGGUAACACCAACUGGAGGACCGCACCGAUAAGCGUUGAAAAGCUUACGGAUGAACUGAGGGUAGGAGUGAAAGGCCAAUCAAACUUGGAGAUAGCUCGUACUCCCCGAAAUGCAUUUAGGUGCAGCCUCGAAGUAAAGUGAUAGAGGUAGAGCGACUGAUAAGAUGCGAGGGCUUCACCGCCUAUCAAGUCUUGACAAACUCCGAAUACUAUCACUUGAUCUUCGGGAGUGAGGGCAUGGGUGCUAAGGUCCAUGUCCGAAAGAGGAACAACUCAGACCACCAGCUAAGGUCCCGAAAUAAGGGCUAAGUUGAAUAAACGAAGUAAAACUGCAAAGACAGCUAGGAUGUUGGCUUGGAAGCAGCCAUUCAUUUAAAGAGUGCGUAACAGCUCACUAGUCGAGGAGUUUUGCAUGGAUAAUAAUCGGGCAUAAGCCCUUUACCGAAGCUGUGGAUGUCGUAAGACAUGGUAGGGGAGCAUUCCGGCGGCGACGAAGGCCGUCCUCGAGGACGACUGGAGCUUUCGGAAAAGCAAAUGUAGGUAUAAGUAACGAUAAAGGGGGCGUGAAACCCCCUCGCCAUAAGACUAAGGAUUCCUGAUCAACGCUAAUCGGAUCAGGGUAAGUCGGGCCCUAAGGCGCAGCCGAACGGCGUAGCCGAUGGAAGAAACGGUAAAGAUUCCGUUACUGGAUAUAGGAGCGAUGUGGAGACGGAGAAGUGACACACCCGCCUGCCGACGGAAGCGCAGGUUAAAGGAAGUAGGUAAACGCCGGGUAGGCAAAUCCGCCUGGCGUGCCGAAGCUGACAGUAUCGAGAGCCCCCGGGCAAUCGAAUAGCGGUGGUAAUCAGGCUCCCAAGAAAAUCCGCUAAGCAUAUUCUAUAUCCACCCGUACCCCAAACGGACACACGUAGUCGGGUAGAAUAUACCAAGGCGCUCGAAAGACUCACGGUUAAGGAACUAGGCAAAUUGACCCUGUAACCUCGGGAAAAAGGGUCCCCAGUAAGAUGGGGCGCAGAGAAUAGGUCCAGGCAACUGUUUAACAAAAACACAGGGCUGUGCAAAAUUUCAAGAUGAAGUAUACAGCCUGACACCUGCCCGGUGCCGGAAGGUUAAGAGGAGAGCUAAUCGCAAGAGAAGGCUUGAAUUGAAGCCCCGGUAAACGGCGGCCGUAACUAUAACGGUCCUAAGGUAGCGAAAUUCCUUGUCGGGUAAGUUCCGACCUGCACGAAUGGUGUAAUGAUCUGGACACUGUCUCAA